ACACACAGGUUUUCCUGUUUCUUUGGGUCUUCAUUUCUGAAGGCUCCCAUGUCAUAUAAAACUUAUAUUAAAUACAUUUGUAUUUUUUUCUUGUUAAUUUGUCUUUCAUUAUAGGUGCCUCAGCCAUCAAUGGGUGAAGAAAGAAAUCUUUCCUCCCCUAUAGUUUCUGGUACCCAUUGAAGGACAGCUGAGACACCCGACUUACUCUGGAGCUAGCAGAUGAAACCCUGGGACAACUGACAAAAGCCAGCAAAAGAUAAGGAUUCUUAUCAAGGAAGAAGUUGUACUCUGAAGUUUCCUUAUCUGCCUAAAAUCUGGACACACCAAAGAAGAAAACAAUCACCCCUGAUCCCUUCCCUGAGUUUUCAUUAACUCAACUCAUAUUGCAGGAAGAAAGACUGAAGUCCUUCAACGCACCUGAGAAGACUUUUGUCACAAACCAUUGUCUGCUUGGUGGGCUCAACAGACUUUGUCCCGGGCCAUUCUUUGGCAUCAUGAACAGGAUAACCAGUCACUCUGCUCUUCUGGAAGCUGCAGUCAAGGAAACUCAGGAUGUGACAAACUGGCAGAAGGGAAAUAAAUUCUUACCAGCUGGACUCUCAGCCUCUAUUUCUGCAGAAUCCACUGUCUUUGGCGUAGUUUUGGAUUUUGUGAGGUCUGCUUUGCACCUCUUUGGAGAUGACCUGUGUGUCCUUGGUUAAGUCAUAAUUUUGGUUAAGCUCUAUUCAUUCUGGACACAAUCAGAAAUGCUGCUUAUUUUAUCAAGGUUUUGACUGGAAUGACAUAUUUUCAGAUAUGUCCAGACUGCUUUGAAGAAUUGAGGUUGACUUUAUUGAACUGAUGAAAAGCCCUUUGGAAAGGCUGACCUGGUACUUUAUCUACAUGGUUCCUUUUCAAUGUUUCUGACCUUGUGAUAUUAAUUAACGAAGAACAUAUUGCGUGCCAGGAAAUACUCUACAUGUUGGAGACAUAUCAAAAAGUCCAUAUAUUCUGGGAAUGCUUUACUAGCACUAUUGCAUUUUAUUAUACAAUCACCUUUGUUAGGAGCUGAAUUGUGUCUCCCUAACCCAUUAAUAUGCUGAAGUCCUAACCCCUACUACCUCAGAAUGUCACUAUACUUGAAAAUAGGAUUUUUGAGGGGGUGAUUAUGGUUAAAUGAGGUCAUAGGAACACCAAUCCAAUAUGACUGGUGUUGUUAUAAGGAGAGGAGAGAUGAGGCCACCGAACACGCAGAGGGAAGACCAUGUAAAGAAGACUCAGAGAGAAGACAGCUGUCUACCAGCUGGGAGGGAGGCCUCAGGAGGAACUAACCUGUGAACACUUUGGUCUUGGCCUUCUAUCUUUCAGAACUGUGAGAAAAUAAAUUUGUUGUUUACACCACCCACU
rnacentral:lncRNA from 1 species